GCACUCUAAGUGAGGGAGGGGUCCUGGGACCUUCCUUAUUCCUUCCCCUUAAACCCGAGUGUUCUUGAAUUUAGGCUUUUGGGGGGGCAUACCUUUUAAGUUGAAUCCAGCAGGAAGGUUCCUUAGCUCUGUCUUGUUGUUAGUUUGAUUUUCAGUCCCCUAGUAGCAUUUAGUUUGUAAUUGGUAAGGAAGGUUUUUCAGAGGUCUGAACUUUUACUGCCUCUAAGCUGCCAUAUUGAUUCUUCCCCCUCUAGAAUCAAAGGUCCUGAAUUUCUGGGGCUAGAGAGAGAGGACUCCAAGAAGAGAGUCACUCCAAGAAGGAAGUUGGCUUCAAGUGGAAGGUGGGCUCAAAGAAGAAAGUUGGCCUCAGGAGCCUCCUUCAGCUCUAGUCAUUAUCUUGACCUGUCUCUUGGAGAGAAUUUGUGUGUGCCUCAUCAUCUGGGAAACCUGAUGAAAUAUAAUCAGUCUACAAUCAUUAAGCUUGUGUCAGACACUGUAGUAAAAUCUGAGGAUGUGAAGAAAAGCAAAUAUGGAGUUCCUGCUUUCAGUAAACUCAUAUUCCAACUGGUGAGAUGACCUACAAACAACUAUGUACACAUGAGAUAAAUUGGAAGUAAUUACAAAGGGCAAACACUAGCAAUGGGUGUCAGGAAAGACCUCUUGCAGUGGUCAGACUAGCAAAAAGGGUUGAAGGAGCCAGGAAAUAGAGUUGAUGAGGAAGAUCAUUCCAGGCAUGGUGACAGCCAAUGCAUAAACUUAGCAUCAGGAAAUGGAGUCUCCCACAGCAUCUAGCAUAUUGCUGGAUGAACACAGCAGGAUCUUAGUAAGUGUUUGUUGACAUGAAUUGAGUUCUAAAGGGCAAGGUAUAAAGUAUAGAAAGCAGAGAUUUGGGCUAAAAAUAUGCCUUGAGAGGCAGCUGUAAAAUAGUAGAUUAAGAAGUAGCCUCUGGGGCAACUAGGUGGCCCAGUUUAUAAACAAGACCUGGAGAUGGAAUGUUCUGGGUUCAAUCUGGCCUCAGAUACCUCUUAGCUAUAUGACCUUGGGCAAAUCACUUAACCCCAAUUGCCUAGUCCUUAAUGCUCUUCAGCCUUGGAAUCAAUAAUUAGUAUCAAUUCUAAGAUGAUAAGGUUUUUAGAAAAGAAAAAUUUGCCUCCUAUGAAGGAAGCUCUGACUUCAAGUCCUAUCUCUGACCUUUAAUUGAAUAUUUCAGGCUGGAAAGAUACUUAAAUACAUAGUGCUCUAAAAUGGCGGUGUCAAAUUCUUUAAAAAAUAUUAUUUUCCCUUAUUAUAUGUAAAAACAAUUUUUAACAUUCAUUUUUAAAAGUUUUAUAGUUUAAGUUCUCUCCUUCUGACCAUCCUCCCACCCUAAGAUGAUGUUAUUUUAUAUAAAUUUUAACUGUGUAAUCAU
rnacentral:lncRNA from 1 species